GAUGAACGCUAGUGGCAGGCCUAAUACAUGCAAGUCGAACGGUGUCUUCGGACAUAGUGGCGCACGGGUGCGUAACACGUAUGCAACCUACCUUACAUUGGGGGAUAGCCUUUCGAAAGGGAGAUUAAUACCGCAUAAGACAGUAGCUGGGCAUCCAGCAGCUGUUAAAGAUUUAUCGAUGUAAGCUGGGCAUGCGUCCAAUUAGCUAGUUGGUGAGGUAACGGCUCACCAAGGCAAUGAUUGGUAGGGGAACUGAGAGGUCAAUCCCCCACACUGGCACUGAGAUACGGGCCAGACUCCUACGGGAGGCAGCAGUAGGGAAUAUUGGGCAAUGGACGCAAGUCUGACCCAGCCAUGCCGCGUGUAGGAUGAAGGCGUUAUGCGUUGUAAACUGCUUUUAUACAGGAAGAAACGACUCUUGCGAGAGGCAUUGACGGUGCUGUAUGAAUAAGCACCGGCUAACUCCGUGCCAGCAGCCGCCGUAAGAC
rnacentral:rRNA from 1 species